ACCUUUCCUUGUUUGGAUCAUCAUGAAUUAGGAAACACUGGAUGAGAUUUAGACUCCCAAUUCAUGCAGUGUUUGAUUAGGUUUAGGACUUUUACUCUAUUUAAGAGGGACCCUUGGGCAUGGAGAUUAAUUGGUGAAUUAAUCUUAGUGUGUGCCUUGGAGAGAGGGUGUGGAGACACCUGGCGUGAUCGCUCUUCCUAGCGUGGAGGCUCUUCCUUUCUUCCUUGGCAUGUAGAGCUUCAUAGCCUUUGAGAUCAGAUCUCAAAAGCUCCCUCUUCUUCCUCUUCUGAAGAAGUCUCCUAGUAUCUUCGUCCGUCUUUCCUGCGAAGAUUGACAUGCGAGCAAAGUAGAGGAUCUGGACAUCCAAAUCUUGCAGAGCAGUAGAUCUUCAAGAACUUCAACCUUGAUCAAGACUUCCACUACGAAGCAAGGUAAGAUUUCAUAAAAUUUAUGAAAAAUUUUUAAUUAUAAUCUAUUCAAUUUUUUCUUCUGGCCAUGCAAUGCGAAUCGCCUAUUUUCUUCAGAGACCUACCCCUUCCUCACCCUUUGCUCCACCUAUCAUUGAGUUUCCUUCUAAUGAGGACUAGAUAUUCUAUAUCUAGGACUUAUUAUGUUGUUGUUCUUACUUUUACUUAUCUUUAAACUGUGAUAGCUAAUGUUGUCUUGUAUUGUUUGAGCUGCAACUUUUUGUAAACAAUACAAUCUUGUAAUGAACUUUAUUAUCAAAUGAAAGCUCACUUAUUCAGUCAUGCUUUAUCUCUUUUGUACCUCAUCUUUUUGAUGCUGACAAAAAGGAGGAGAAAAGAAAAUAAAUAGUAUUGAGCAUAUUGUCAAAUCACUUCAGAUUAAAGUUAAUAGUGUUGAGCAUAUUGUCAAAUCACUUCAGAUUAAAGUUAAUAAUUAAAAGGGAAAGAACAGUAAAUAUUAAACUUAAUAGAAAAUUUGAAACACGUU
rnacentral:lncRNA from 1 species